CCCCUGUGACAUACCACUUGUUGCCUCGGCGGAUCAGCCCGCUCCCGGUAAAACGGGACGGCCCGCCAGAGGACCCCUAAACUCUGUUUCUAUAUGUAACUUCUGAGUAAAACCAUAAAUAAAUCAAAACUUUCAACAACGGAUCUCUUGGUUCUGGCAUCGAUGAAGAACGCAGCAAAAUGCGAUAAGUAAUGUGAAUUGCAGAAUUCAGUGAAUCAUCGAAUCUUUGAACGCACAUUGCGCCCGCCAGUAUUCUGGCGGGCAUGCCUGUUCGAGCGUCAUUUCAACCCUCAAGCACAGCUUGGUGUUGGGACUCGCGUUAAUUCGCGUUCCUCAAAUUGAUUGGCGGUCACGUCGAGCUUCCAUAGCGUAGUAGUAAAACCCUCGUUACUGGUAAUCGUCGCGGCCACGCCGUUAAACCCCAACUUCUGAAUGUUGACCUCGGAUCAGGUAGGAAUACCCGCUGAACUUAAGCAUAUCAAUAAGGCGGAGGAA
rnacentral:rRNA from 1 species